rnacentral:lncRNA from 1 species
AAAGAGGUCAUGGACGUUUAUGAAAGAAGAGACUUUCAUGAAAUCUUGAGGGACUGCUUUAGUGUGUGUCUUCUAUUUAAUGGUCCAAAUGUCUUUUGAAUAAUUUAUACAGUCCCUUACCACUGCAAAUGCUCUAAAAUUCCCCACCUGCUAAAUCCUUGAACGGGUUAAUUAAGUCAACAACAUUCACCAUUUUCAAAGAU